rnacentral:rRNA from 1 species
UUACGAGGUCAGGACACUGUGAGGAUUGACAGAUUGAAAGCUCUUUCUUGAUUCAGUGGGUGGUGGUGCAUGGCCGUUCUUAGUUGGUGGAGUGAUUUGUCUGGUUAAUUCCGUUAACGAACGAGACCUUAACCUGCUAAAUAGUCACGCGAACCGGUCCGCAAGGGCUCAAAGUUCGCGGCUCGACUUCUUAGAGGGACUAUUCGCACCCGCCAGCGAAUGGAAGCUUGAGGCAAUAACAGGUCUGUGAUGCCCUUAGAUGUUCUCGGCCGCACGCGCGUUACACUGACGGAGUCAACGAGCGUUUUUCCUUGCCCGACAGGGCUGGGUAACCUCCUGAAACCCCGUCGUGAUGGGGAUAGAUCAUUGCAAUUAUUGAUCUUGAACGAGGAAUUCCUAGUAGGCGCGAGUCAUCAACUCGCGCCGAUUACGUCCCUGCCCUUUGUACACACCGCCCGUCGCUCCUACCGAUUGAACGGUCCGGCGAGAACUCCGGAUGGUC